rnacentral:rRNA from 1 species
GUGAACGCUAGCGGUGCGCCUCAAACAUGCAAGUCGAGUGGGUUUAGACCCACGGCGAACGGCUGCGUAACACGUGGGUACCUCCCCCGAACUCAGGGAUAUCCCGCCGAAAGGCGGAGUAAUACCGGAUAGUCCCGAAAGGGUAAAGAUUUUUCGGUUCGGGAAGGGCCUGCGGCCUAUCAGCUUGUUGGUAAGGUAACGGCUUACCAAGGCUAUGACGGGUAGCUGGAUUGAGAGAUCGACCAGCCAGAAUGGGACUGAGACACGGCCCAUACUCCUACGGGAGGCAGCAGUUAGGAAUCUUCCGCAAUGGGCGCAAGCCUGACGGAGCGACACCGCGUGGAGGACGAAACCCUUUUCGGGCGUAAACUCCUGUUCUGAGGGACGAAAUAUUGACGGUACCUCAGGAGAAAGCAUCGGCUAACUACGU